rnacentral:rRNA from 1 species
GGCGUGGGGGGUUGGUCUAAAAAAUGCAAGUCGAGCGGACAGAAGGGAGCUUGCUCCCGGAUGUUAGCGGCGGACGGGUGAGUAACACGUGGGUAACCUGCCUGUAAGACUGGGAUAACUCCGGGAAACCGGAGCUAAUACCGGAUAGUUCCUUGAACCGCAUGGUUCAAGGAUGAAAGACGGUUUCGGCUGUCACUUACAGAUGGACCCGCGGCGCAUAGCUAGUUGGUGAGGUAACGGCUCACCAAGGCGACGAUGCGUAGCCCACCUGAGAGGGUGAUCGGCCACACUGGGACUGAGACACGGCCCAGACUCCUACGGGAGGCAGCAGUAGGGAAUCUUCCGCAAUGGACGAAAGUCUGACGGAGCAACGCCGCGUGAGUGAUGAAGGUUUUCGGAUCGUAAAGCUCUGUUGUUAGGGAAGAACAAGUGCAAGAGUAACUGCUUGCACCUUGACGGUACCUAACCAGAAAGCCACGGCUAACUACGUGCCAGCAGCCGCGGUAAUACCUAGGUGGCAAGCGUUGUCCGGAAUUAUUGGGCGUAAAGGGCUCGCAGGCGGUUUCUUAAGUCUGAUGUGAAAGCCCCCGGCUCAACCGGGGAGGGUCAUUGGAAACUGGGAAACUUGAGUGCAGAAAAAGAGAGUGGAAUUCCACGUGUAGCGGUGAAAUGCGUAGAGAUGUGGAGGAACACCAGUGGCGAAGGCGACUCUCUGGUCUGUAACUGACGCUAAGGAGCGAAAGCGUGGGGAGCGGACAGGAUUAGAUACCCUGGUAGUCCACGCCGUAAACGAUGAGUGC